AUGUAAGAAAAUUUUUCUAGUGGGUGUUUGUAUGCAUAUUGUUAUCUUUAUACAUUAGGUUCUCGAUAGAGGUCCUAUAAUGGCACAUCAUCAGACGAUUCGAGAGUGCAAAGUGGUCUUAACCAAAGUUCGGCAUUCUGUCGGCCGUUUAACAGGAGAAGUUGAAAAUCCUAUUGAGUUAGAAAUCGCAGCUACAUUACCUAUAUGAACCAUUGACGAUGCAUUCGACAUUGAAGAGAAGUUAACGUCAAGAGAAUAUGCCGAAGCAAUGAGAACGUAUUUAUUCAAGUUAAAAAGAGCGAACAGUUCGGUUGACGAUGUGUUGCGGAAGAUCUUGACGGAUGAGCUAUUAAUUUUAUUUAAUUUUGAUGGCAGAAAGAAUAAGAAAGCGCUCACUAAGCUGAAGCUUGUCAACGAAAUUUUAUUCGGUGUGUUUCAAUCUGAAGGACGACCCACCUAUGAAAAAAUCCUCCGCAAAUGUGUCGAGCUGAGCCACAACAGGUGGCGACAGAAGAAAUUGUUGGGAAAUCGUUCAGUCAC